AGAAACAUAUCAUCUUGGAAUAAAAAUAGUUUUACUUUCAUUCUCUGUAUUAGUUAUGUAUUGCCUCAAUAAUGUUGUAUAGAAAGCUACCAUAAAACUCCCUGGACUAAUAAUUAUUUAGACUGUCAGUAUGAAAAUCAGAGAUUUAGGCUUGUUUUCUUUUCUAGUCUUUGCUGAAUUAGCUCACAUGUCUGGAGUUGGCUAGCUGUUUGCUGAGGUGGGUGGGCUAUUAGCUGAUGUGCUGCGGCUCAGCUCCAGGUUUCUCACAGCCAUCUAGCAGAAGAACUUGGGCAAGUUCUCAUGGGAAAGUAGAGGUGCACAGGAAAACGAGUCCAAUUGUGUAAGCAACGUUCAAACUCCUUGCUUGUGUCUUGUUUGUUAACAGCUCACUGGCCAAAGCAUAUCAGAUGGCUGAUCGUAGUGUUUGGGACUGGGUAUAAUCCCUUGCCCAGAGUGGACGAGAACUUGAAAGUUACAUGCAAAAUGUACAGAUAUGGGGAGGGGUGAAGAAUUUGAGCCAUUAAGGCUAAAGCAGAAGCUACGACAAGAUGUGGAAAGCCACGAAAGCAUUCAAAGGAAAGGAGAAGGAACCAAUAAAGAAGAAGACGAAUAGAACGGAGGACAAGAGGCAGGAGGCAUGAUUUCUAUCUGAAAAGUGAAUACAUCAGAAAAGUAUAAAGAAGAGAAUGAUCAACUAUCAACUCAAAUCCUACCAUCUAGAAAAAAAUCUCAUUUUACAUUUUAGCAAAUUUCUUUCCAAGCAUUUUUCAAUAUUUGUUUAUAUAAUUGGUAACA